GGCGUCAUAGCUCAGUUGGGAGAGCAGCAGACUGAAGUCAAACCGAACUCGGGUCAAUAUCUGAAGGUCCCGUGUUCAAGCCACGGUGAUGCCA